rnacentral:rRNA from 1 species
AGUCGAGCGGACAGAUGGGAGCUUGCUCCCUGAUGUUAGCGGCGGACGGGUGAGUAACACGUGGGUAACCUGCCUGUAAGACUGGGAUAACUCCGGGAAACCGGGGCUAAUACCGGAUGCUUGUUUGAACCGCAUGGUUCAAACAUAAAAGGUGGCUUCGGCUACCACUUACAGAUGGACCCGCGGCGCAUUAGCUAGUUGGUGAGGUAAUGGCUCACCAAGGCAACGAUGCGUAGCCGACCUGAGAGGGUGAUCGGCCACACUGGGACUGAGACACGGCCCAGACUCCUACGGGAGGCAGCAGUAGGGAAUCUUCCGCAAUGGACGAAAGUCUGACGGAGCAACGCCGCGUGAGUGAUGAAGGUUUUCGGAUCGUAAAGCUCUGUUGUUAGGGAAGAACAAGUACCGUUCGAAUAGGGCGGUACCUUGACGGUACCUAACCAGAAAGCCACGGCUAACUACGUGCCAGCAGCCGCGGUAAUACGUAGGUGGCAAGCGUUGUCCGGAAUUAUUGGGCGUAAAGGGCUCGCAGGCGGUUUCUUAAGUCUGAUGUGAAAGCCCCCGGCUCAACCGGGGAGGGUCAUUGGAAACUGGGGAACUUGAGUGCAGAAGAGGAGAGUGGAAUUCCACGUGUAGCGGUGAAAUAGCGUAGAGAUGUGGAGGAACACCAGUGGCGAAGGCGAGCUCUCUGGUCUGUAACUGACGCUGAGGAGCGAAAGCGUGGGGAGCGAACAGGAUUAGAUACCCUGGUAGUCCACGCCGUAAACGAAUGAGUGCUAAGUGUUAGGGGGUUUUCCGCCCCUUAGUGSUGCAGCUAACGCAUUAAGCACUCCGCCUGGGGAGUACGGUCGCAAGACUGAAACUCAAAGGAAUUGACGGGGGCCCGCACAAGCGGGGGAGCAUGUGGUUUAAUUCGAAGCAACGCGAAGAACCUUACCAGGUCUUGACAUCCUCUGACAAUCCUAGAGAUAGGACGUCCCCUUCGGGGGCAGAGUGACAGGUGGUGCAUGGUUGUCGUCAGCUCGUGUCGUGAGAUGUUGGGUUAAGUCCCGCAACGAGCGCAACCCUUGAUCUUAGUUGCCAGCAUUCAGUUGGGCACUCUAAGGUGACUGCCGGUGACAAACCGGAGGAAGGUGGGGAUGACGUCAAAUCAUCAUGCCCCUUAUGACCUGGGCUACACACGUGCUACAAUGGACAGAACAAAGGGCAGCGAAACCGCGAGGUUAAGCCAAUCCCACAAAUCUGUUCUCAGUUCGGAUCGCAGUCUGCAACUCGACUGCGUGAAGCUGGAAUCGCUAGUAAUCGCGGAUCAGCAUGCCGCGGUGAAUACGUUCCCGGGCCUUGUACACACCGCCCGUCACGCCACGAGAGUUUGUAACACCCGAAGUCGGUGAGGUAACCUUUAG